rnacentral:misc_RNA from 1 species
GAUGAAGAACGUAGCGAAAUGCGAUAAGUAGUGUGAAUUGCAGAAUUCAGUGAAUCAUCGAAUCUUUGAACGCGCAUUGCGACCCUUGGUAUCCCGAGGGGCAUGCCUGUUCGAGCGUCAUUUCACCACUCAAGCCUGGCUUGGUGUUGGGCGACGUCCCCUUUGGGGACGCGCCUCGAAACGCUCGGCGGCGUGGCACCGGCUUUAAGCGUAGCAGAAUCUUUCGCUUUGGAAGUCGGGGCCCCGUCUGCCGGAAGACCUACUCGCAAGGUUGACCUCGGAUCAGGCAGGGAUACCCGCUGAACUUAAGCAUAUCAAUAAGCGGAGGA